GACGAACGCUGGCGGCGUGCUUAACACAUGCAAGUCGAGCGGUAAGGCCCUUCGGGUACGACGAGCGGCGAACGGGUGAGUAACACGUGGGUGACCUGCCUCUAGCUCUGGGAUAAGCCUGGGAAACUGGGUCUAAUACCGGAUAUGACUCCACGGCGCAUGUUGUGGGGUGGAAAGCCUUGUGUGGCUAGAGAUGGGCCCGCGGCCUAUCAGCUUGUUGGUGGGGUGAUGGCCUACCAAGGCGACGACGGGUAGCCGGCCUGAGAGGGCGACCGGCCACACUGGGACUGAGACACGGCCCAGACUCCUACGGGAGGCAGCAGUGGGGAAUCUUGCGCAAUGGGCGAAAGCCUGACGCAGCGACGCCGCGUGAGGGAUGACGGCCUGGUGUAACUAC
rnacentral:rRNA from 1 species